UACGAAGGGGGCUAGCGUUGUUCGGAAUUACUGGGCGUAAAGCGCACGUAGGCGGCUUACUAAGUCAGGGGUGAAAUCCUGGAGCUCAACUCCAGAACUGCCUUUGAUACUGGUGAGCUUGAGUCCGGAAGAGGUGAGUGGAACUGCGAGUGUAGAGGUGAAAUUCGUAGAUAUUCGCAAGAACACCAGUGGCGAAGGCGGCUCACUGGUCCGGUACUGACGCUGAGGUGCGAAAGCGUGGGGAGCAAACAGG
rnacentral:rRNA from 1 species